rnacentral:rRNA from 1 species
UCGCCUGUUUAUCAAAAACAUAGCCCAAAGAUUUAUUUUGGGUAAAUUCUGCCCAGCGUAAUUUAUUAGCGGCCGCAGUACUUUGACUGUGCUAAGGUAGCAUAAUCAAUUGGCUUUUAAUUGUAGUCUGGAAUGAAAGGACUAAUAAGGGUUAGCUGUCUCUAUACUAUUAUUUUGAAUUUAUUUAUUAAGUGAAAAUACUUAUACAAAGAAAAAAGACGAGAAGACCCUUAGAAUUUUAAUAAAAUAUUUAAUAAUUUUUUUUGUUGGGGCGACAUUGAAACAAUUAAACUUUCAUUAACAAUCAAGACAUUUAGGUUUGAAAGAGUAAAUUACCUUAGGGAUAACAGCAUAAUUAAUUAUUUAGUUUGUGACCUCGAUGUUGGACUAGGAACUAGAAGAUUAACCGUCUAAAUAGAUGUCGUC